GGAAUAUUGGACCAUGGGGGCAACCCUGAUCCAGCCAUGCCGCGUGAGUGAAGAAGGCCCUAGGGUUGUAAAGCUCUUUCAACGGUGAAGAUGAUGACGGUAGCCGUAGAAGAAGCCCCGGCUAACUCCGUUCCAGCAGCCGCGGUAAUACGGAGGGGGCUAGCGUUGUUCGGAAUUACUGGGCGUAAAGGGCGCGUAGGCGGUAUGUCAAGUCAGGGGUGAAAGGCCUGGGCUCAACCCAGGAAUUGCCUUUGAAACUGGCAAACUAGAGUCCGAAAGAGGAUGGCGGAAUUCCCAGUGUAGAGGUGAAAUUCGUAGAUAUUGGGAAGAACACCGGUGGCGAAGGCGGCCAUCUGGAUCGGCACUGACGCUGAGGCGCGAAAGCGUGGGGAGCAAAC
rnacentral:rRNA from 1 species